rnacentral:snRNA from 1 species
UUGUUUCAGCAACACAUAUACUAAAAUUGGAAAGAUAUAGAGAAGAUCAGCAUGGUCCCUUCACAAGGAUGACAUACAAAUUCAUGAAGUGUUCCAUUAAAAA